rfam:Danio rerio chromosome 22, GRCz11 reference primary assembly.
GCUGGCAGCUAGCUCUCUGCAACUCUUACAUAGUCGCCCACUGAAACUAAGCAGAGCUGCGCCUGGUCAGUAACUGGAUGGGAGACCACAUGGGGAAGCUAGGUUGCUGCCGGAA